UACGGAGGGUCCAAGCGUUAUCCGGAAUCAUUGGGUUUAAAGGGUCCGUAGGCGGUUUUGUAAGUCAGUGGUGAAAGCCCAUCGCUCAACGGUGGAACGGCCAUUGAUACUGCAAGACUUGAAUUAUUAGGAAGUAACUAGAAUAUGUAGUGUAGCGGUGAAAUGCUUAGAUAUUACAUGGAAUACCAAUUGCGAAGGCAGGUUACUACCAAUAUAUUGACGCUGAUGGACGAAAGCGUGGGGAGCGAACAGG
rnacentral:rRNA from 1 species